UACGUAGGUGGCAAGCGUUGUCCGGAUUUACUGGGCGUAAAGAGCGCGCAGGCGGUCGUUCAAGUCGCGUGUGAAAGCCCCCGGCUCAACUGGGGAGGGUCACGCGAUACUGAUCGACUCGAAGGCAGGAGAGGGAAGUGGAAUUCCCGGUGUAGUGGUGAAAUGCGUAGAUAUCGGGAGGAACACCAGUGGCGAAGGCGACUUCCUGGCCUGUUACCGACGCUCAGGCGCGACAGCGUGGGGAGCAAACAGG
rnacentral:rRNA from 1 species